rnacentral:rRNA from 1 species
UACAGAGGGUGCGAGCGUUGUUCGGAAUUAUUGGGCGUAAAGGGCGCGUAGGCGGUGCGGUAAGUCACCUGUGAAAUCUCCUGGCUCAACUGGGAGCUUGCAGGCGAAACUGCCGUGCUGGAGUGUGGGAGAGGUGCGUGGAAUUCCCGGUGUAGCGGUGAAAUGCGCAGAUAUCAGGAGGAACACCAAUGGCGAAGGCAGCUCGCUGGGACGGUACUGACGCUGAGACGCGAAAAGCGUGGGGGAGCAAAACAGG